CGCUCAGUCGUGUCCGACUCUCAGCGACCCCGUGGACUGCAGCCUACCAGGCUCCUCCGUCCAUGGGAUUUUCCAGGCAAGAGUACUGGAGUGGGGUACCAUUGCCUUCUCCGAUCUCUGGUACACUGGUGCCCAAAAGGAAAGUGACUUUCUUUAGCUCAUGCAGAAUGUAUAUGACCAGUGACGUAACAGAAACAUGGAGAAGAGAAGAAAUUGUUCAGGGUCAUUUUAGUAGAGAGUAGCGAAUCUGGGAUACUCAUUUCCAAUGGAGACAAUCAGUACGUCAACAGCACCCCACCAUCGGCUGCUUCUUUUGAUGUAAAGUAAGUGGAGGAAUGAAUGGGCACUGGAUUUUUGAAGAAGCUCUCUUAAGAAUAAAAAUAAAGGUAGAAAGUAAAUGAAGAUGGAUGGACGCAAGGAGGAGCCUGAGAGGGGCUCCCAGCCCUUGGGCAGGCAGAGAAGGAGAAGGGGUGAGAGUGGAAGAAUAAAGAAAGGUCCCAGGUGCUGGAAAAGCUGGUGUUAAAGGACAUGCAUGGUUUCCCUCCCUGUGAUUCCCGAGCAGCUCCUAGAAUAGAUCCUGUUGCAUAUUUCUGGUUCUAGGGAGGGGUCAUUUGAAAGAAGGCUUAAUGAUUUCUUGGAGUGUCCUAAAAUCCUGAAAUACCUCCACGAAUCUGAAAUUCUUUUUGAUGACAAAUAUGUCACCUACAGUUAGAGAGAAAAAUAAAUUCUGAUUGAGGGAGGAGA